rfam:Macaca mulatta chromosome 7, whole genome shotgun sequence.
AGAAGCUAUGGAGGAUAGGGUUAGCACUCAGUGUCUCUAACCAGCCGGAGGGGCUGGUCUGGCUGGCUAGGCAGGUGUCCCCUUCCUCCCUCACUGCUCUGUGUGCCUCCCUCCUGAAGCUGUGCUCUCGCUCUAUCCCCAAUAGAGGAGGACUGGUCUUCUUUGGUCAAAGGUAUAUGAGUAGCUGUGCUCCCCUGCCAGAACCUCCAAACGAGCUCUCAAGAUCGGUAAAAAAGCCAGGCACGGUGGCUCACACCUGUAAUCCCAACACUUUGGGGAACUGAAGCAGGCGGAUCACUUGAG